rnacentral:misc_RNA from 1 species
GAUGAAGAACGCAGCGAAACGCGAUAGUUAAUGUGAAUUGCAGAAUUCAGUGAAUCAUCGAGUCUUUGAACGCACAUUGCGCCCCUCGGUAUUCCGGAGGGCAUGUCUGUUUGAGCGUCAUUUCAACACUCGCUUUAAGUGGUAUUGAGCUGGAAGUAAUGAACAACCAGCUUUAAAGUUGAAUGCUUUGCGGACGAAUGUCUUGAAAAAACAUAGUAAAAUCUUUUGUUUGCCAUGAUGUUCGUCUUGCCUAAACCAAAAUCUAUCUUUUUGACCUCAGAUCAGACAAGGAUACCCGCUGAACUUAAGCAUAUCAAUAAGCGGAGGA